rnacentral:lncRNA from 1 species
GCUCUGUCCUCCCUCGUCCGGUCCAUCUGCAGUUUCAGGUGCAGAGGUAUUAGCCAUUCACUGCACCCUGUGCUAUGUAGCCUGAGGGCUGCCUCGGAUCUAUUCCCCCAAAUGCUUUCAGCCGUUGUUUUAAAAGCAGAGAGCCGCCGUCCCCUUCGCCCUGUAGUUUGCUCGGCUUAUACCUCUGACCACUCACUAACCUGCAGUGCACAUUUAUAAAAAGGCUGUUGAGUUUCAGCCUACACAUUCAUUUCUUCCUCUUUUUGGCCCCAGUGGAGGAAUGGAAGUUGACAAGAUGUUAAGAAUAAGAGCUUAUGAUACCGUACGUGCCCUGUCCCCGUGUUCGGGUCUGUGGUGAGCCGGGUCCGAGAAGCGGCGGAGGAAGGACAGAGAGCUGGGCCAUCUGGGGGGCUGGCGGUCAGUAAGGGGCUGAGCGAAGGUGCUGGAGUCGCGGAAGCCAUUGUCAUGUGGUGGGGGAGAAGCAGAGGAAGAAGAAUGAGGAUGGUGCCAAGGAUGAUGCUGAUCUCGAAGCCUCAGCCGCAGAAAUAGAGGGAGCUGGUGCUGCCAAGCAACAAGAACCUCAGGAGUCAAAGAUUGGGAUAUUAGUCCUGGAAUCACAUACUGUGCUCCAAACUUGGACGUUUCCACAGAACUGUCAUUGCAGAAAAGUCUUGGAAGGAAGGAUCUCUUCAUCUCCAACUUGGGAGAAUCCUGGGAAUGUGAUGCUAGGUUAGGGAAGCAACCGGGUAGGAAGGAGAAACAUUCUGGGUAAGUAAGAAUCACCCAACAAAGUGAGAAGCCAUGAGGAUAGUGACCCUAGAGGAAGCUUCACUGCAGGACCAGUCUUCUUUUCCAAAUAGAGAAGAUGCAUAGGGAAGAGUCUUCAUAAUUGCUACUUACACACAAAGAGCUUCAGGAAAGUGUCAUGAAGGUGGUUAACAUUUCAGUUCUAAGUUAAAUCUUAUUACCUUUCAUAGAUCAUGUCCUGGAGAAAAACAUUAUAAAUAUGGAGAAUAUUGAGAAAUCUUCAGAAGGAGCCCAGAUAUCAAUUACUCUAAGUCAGUUGAUACCCCAUAAAGAGAAGCCCCAGAAAAAAAAAACAGAUAAUAAACGUCUGAAGGCUUUCCCCCA